rnacentral:tRNA from 1 species
GCGGACGUGGCGGAAUUGGUAUACGCGCAGGCCUGAGGAGCCUGGCUCAUUUUUGAGCGUGUGGGUUCAACUCCCACCGUCCGCA